rnacentral:rRNA from 1 species
GACGAACCGAGCGAACGUUGUUCGGAAUCACUGGGCUUAAAGGGCGCGUAGGCGGGAGGUUAAGUCUGUGGUGAAAUCCGGCAGCUCAACUGUCGAAUUGCCAUGGAUACUGGCCCUCUCGAGGGAGGCAGGGGUGCGCGGAACUAAUGGUGGAGCGGUGAAAUGCGUUGAUAUCAUUAGGAACUCCGGUGGCGAAGGCGGCGCACUGGUCCUCUUCUGACGCUGAGGCGCGAAAGCCAGGGGAGCAAACGG